rnacentral:rRNA from 1 species
UACAGAGGGUGCAAGCGUUAAUCGGAAUUACUGGGCGUAAAGCGUGCGUAGACGGUUAUUUAAGUCAGGUGUGAAAGCCCCGGGCUCAACCUGGGAAUUGCAUUUGAGACUGAAUAGCUAGGGUGCGGAAGAGGGAAGCGGAAUUUCCGGUGUAGCGGUGAAAUGCGUAGAUAUCGGAAGGAACACCAGUGGCGAAAGCGGCUUCCUGGACCGAGAUUGACACUAAAGCGCGAAAGCCAGGGGAGCAAACGGGAGUUAGAAACCCCAG